CUGCCAAAAAAAAAAAAAAAAAAAGUGAGUGGAAAAAUAGCAUAAAGAAGGAUAACAGUAUGAUACUGGUUUUUAUGUACAACAAACUACUGUAAAACUUCCUGUACAUGUAUACUUGCACACAUGUAAAGUAUGAUAGCAUGAGCUUACAGAUAAUAUGGAAUAACACAUAGUGGGUAUUUACAAGGAUUCCAGAGGGAAAGAAAAACGAAAAACUAUACCUUAAAAAGUAUAUGUGCAGUAAUUAAAUUUAUGAAUUCAUAUAAAAGUUUACAUUUAUCUGAAAGUGUACUUGGAAUAUAUUUAUAAAGAAAUUGGGGGGUUGGAAAGGUUUAAAAGCAGAAGCACAUUUGAUAGAGUAAUACUGAAUUUCAGACAUCGAGAGAGCAAAAGUCUGGAUUAUUUUUCAGUUUCUUACACCACCAGAAACCCAUUCUAUUUCUUCUUGUAUUCAAAGUAUAAUCUCUAGAAACUGAGCUCGCUGAACUGAUCAAUUUUGUUUCAUGUAUGAGCUCUUCCUGUGAAAUCUCCUUUGAACAUUAGAGCCAAUGGAUGAAAACUGGCUUUUACUCAACUAUCACAGAGUCAUUUUUCAAGGAGCUGUCCUCUCCAUCUGCCUAGUUCAAUCAUUAUUUACUUUAUUCCACCACUUGAAAGCAGACCAACUUCAGUUGUGGCUGAGUUCCCUACCUGACUGCAAAGUUUCCAGGAUUUUCUCCAGAGCUAAAUGUUACACUAAAUAGUAUUCUGAGCUAUGCUUCUGUGAUAGUGUAGAGCCUUCAGCAAUCUGGUUUAUGCGUUUUUUUUGCAGCAUUUAUCAGCAAAGUAGUUAGAAGCAUCAUAUUGCAUUAAUGAAGAAUUCCCCUUGGUCUCUACUGCCAUUGCCAAGCUAGGGACAACCUAUGAGAGAGAUGUCUGAACCAGAAUCAGGAUAGCAGAAAUAACAAGCAGAUUACUGGUAAAUAAAUGAACACGGUGCUUGACGGCUCUGGGGAUCAUAUGUAGUAGGCCUUUGCUCAGGAAGUAGAAUAUACUUUUCUCCAUCACUGUAUAUUCAAAUUUUUCUCCUUUUCAAGAUUCAAUUUAAAGGUUUAUCUUGCAGCAGGGAUUUGGUCAUAUGUUUCAUAUUUGAGAUGCUCUUAUGUGUGUUUAUUACACAGCUAAGUAUUAGCAAGCCCUUCCUGUCUCCUCCCCAGCUAGAUGUAUUCCUGUACUCUUUUUCCCCUUUUCUAUCUUGCAGUAGAAACUAGCCUGAAUCUUUUUAUUCAGGUGUGUAUUAACCUUCUACCUAAUAUAGUAAUAAAGUAGUUUGUCUCUACUUUCAAAGUUAACAACUGAAAGAAGAGGAGUUCUUCCCUGUCCGAUGUGUUACUCCACAAGCACACAGAUAAUAGCAAGAUAUGUGACAGUCUGUUGACUGAAUCAUUUCUCAGCCGAGAUGGAAUAUUGGGCCACCAUCUUUGAGAGGAACAUGGGGAUUCUGCAGGCAGCUGGAUGUGCAUUCACAGCGAUGUUUUCUAUCCAGAGAUAUUUUGAUUGGUUCCUCUCACCUUCGGUCAAGUCUGGCAAUGCAGAGACAGGAUUGGAAAGAGCCUACUCCUCCCUUCUCAUGAAGCAGUAGAUUUUGUUCCUGCUGUGUCUUUCCAAACCUAGCAGCAUAAUCAGUGUUGUGUUUUUACAAUCUGUUAUUCUUCUAAAAAUGAGAACAAUGACCUUUGUGUUAAUUAGUUGAUACAAGAGCCUGCUGGGACUAAAAGAAUAAGGCUUAAUGGGACUUGAGAUUAUAUAUUCCAGUCAUAUCUGUGAAAGUAGUAACUAAUGUUAAUGGUGACAUCAAAUAGACAUGCAUUCAUACUAAUGUGCUUUUUAUCUCUUUCCUAGCAAUACAAUAAACAUACUAAAGACUGCCCCCCAAAGUCUAAAAACAUUGAGAAAAAUACUUCAUUGUUCUUUUUGAAAUGAACAAAUGGGUCUGUUGCUUUACAUUUAGAGAAACAUCACAUGAAAAUGUGUUUAAGAACUGGAGAAAAACAUACUGAGACUAUUACACAAUACAGCCAACAUGUUCUAAAAUAUAUAUAUAGCUCUGGUUUCCCAACUUUUUGUACACCCUUCAUAUCAUGUAGUAGUGUUCUGAAGAAGAAAUAAGUAGUGAAAGAAUACAGAAUUGUAAGAAAAGGGAGAAGUAUUAUUUCAGAUAGGGUACAGGAAGAAAAGCUAAUGGAAUGUUCAUUUUAUCUGUAACCCCUCUAGAUUGUGCCUGCUUCAGCACCACAUGUUCUUCCAAUGGAGGCAUCUGAUACCUCUCGUACUGCCUGUCUCAAGCAAGGAUGGCUCGGUCUAUAGGGGAUCUUGCCCAGGGAUCCACUGAACCCAUCUUCAGCCCUGAACUUCUGGAAAUUGUAUGUGAGAUUUUCUGUAACCAUUAAGAGCUGCUGUAAUAAGAUUCUGACGUCCUAGCUCCUUUGUGUUCAGAUAUGAAAGCUGGGAAGAGGCUGAGAAAAACCAGAGGAACUCCUGGGAAAUGGUCACAGGGAGCAGGAUCUCAGGGGACCUGGGAGGCUGCUGUGGUAGCCAUGUAACUCUGCUCCAAACCUCCUGGAUUUAGCUCUUCACUUUGUUCUCUGCCUAACAUGCUAUUUGCAAGCCCUCUAUUUUCAAAAAAACAUAACUAUCUGAAAAAAGGUUUAAAAUUAAAUCAUUCUUACUUUGGUGUUAAUUCAUUAUGUUUCUCCCAAUUUGCAGCUGAGUUCAGAUGCAUUGGUGGUUAAACUGAGAAAGGAGAGAGAGAGAGAUUAUUUUGUACUUUGGAGCCAGAGUAGAUAUUGGAAGGGUGGUAAGAUUAGAUUAUCAGCUAGGGUUUGCUCAGCGAGACCUCUAAAGAAACAUGGAAACUGGAAACUAAAUUAAUAAAAAAAUGGUGAGAAG